UUGAAAAGCCGGGGGUGUUUCUCCUUGUGGAGAGGCUGAGAGAGUCCCUUGGAACCUGAUCCAGUUCAUGCUGGCGUAGGGAAGGCUGACAGGCUCAUAG
rfam:Solemya pervernicosa gill symbiont isolate Sp-SM6 Selarraichensis_sym_scaffold108, whole genome shotgun sequence.